UGAACCAUCAAAAAAUAUGAUAAUAUUGUUUUAUUAUGUAAUAAGCCAAAAUCUAGAUGUAUACCGUAAUGUGGAACUGGCCCACGUCAACGAAAUCAGAAAACCCUGUAAUCAAUGUACACAAGCAGUAUGUCCAACCCUAGCGACAGCAUGAAUUGAGUGUGAAAAACAUGCCGAUAACAGUGAUGUAUGUAAGUCAUACAUGCAUUUAUAGUAUACAUUGUGUUUAAUUGGCUCACUGAUCGCUGUAUAAGACCAUGUUUUAUGUUAUAG